rnacentral:lncRNA from 1 species
AAAAAAGGAGAAGAAGAGAGAAGAACAGUUCUUCUCUUGGAUCUCUCUUUUAAAUUUUUUUAGAUCUUAAGAUUUUAUAUAAUUUUUAGUAUGAAAAAUCAGAUUAGAUCUAAUUUUUAUCAUAGAAAAUCAGAGAAAAAAAUUCAUCUUAAGGGCAUGAAAGGAAGAGAGAAAGGUUCUUUCUUAUGUAUGAGAAAUUGAGAAGAAAGGGUUCUUCUCUUGAUUUCUAUUAUAGAGAUCAUGGAUCUAGAAAAAAAGAAAGGGUCUCCUUAUUCUUUAUUUUCAUCAUAUUUCUCUCAAAUCAAUCAAUGGAUGGUGUCUUUGCGAGCUAGCACGCCCG